rnacentral:tRNA from 1 species
UACUAGUAUGUACUAGUACAAGUAGUACGUACUAGUAGUACGUACUAGUACUAGUACUACUAGUUAUACUAGUACUAGUAC